UUGUCAAGGGUGAUUACCCUUGUAAAUGCAGGGUAUACCUUUUCAAAAACACAAAAUCCCAUAAACUGCACACUGUCACAAGAUGUUAUGUUCUUGCUAAAACCUCAAAAACCAGUUUGUAGAAAAAUUAAUCCAAUGAACUAGUACACAUCAAUGCUACUAAAACAACAAAAAUUCUAAAUCUAUCCUGCGGCUAAGCAAUGGAGAAUUCUAAAUCAUUAGUAAUUUUGUAUGAAUCCUAUUGAUUAAAGCUAUCAAACAAAAACUCUUUGACCUUAGAAAGAGCUUUAGAAUUUCAAUAUGGCAUAUCCAAGACAAUCUCUCUCUGUAGGAGCGUUCAGAGGAAACUGUAAGCAAGUUUUGCAGGAAAAAACUUUAGUUGAAUUGAGGUUUUAAAUUCUGAUUUCAAAUGAAAUUAUAAUAACAUGAAAUAAAUGAAUUAUAACAAUUCAGCAAUCUUUAACUUUCAUUGGAUGCUCAGGUUUUUUGUUUGGGUCUUAACCCACUGACGAAAUGUUUCUAUGUUGCAGGGUCGCUCUUAUAGUCAUCCUACUUGUGAUAGCAUAUGUCGUGUUGGCUUUUGUUUGCCAUGGGCCUGCAUUACCGUCUUGCUUCUAGUGAAAGGUUGGAGAGUGAGUUUAUGUGUGAUUUUAUACCGUCUCCGGCUUGCAAAGGUUGCUUCUUGUGGUGCAGACUCCCGUUUGUUUCAAUUUCAAUUGCUGGGCUGUCAACGUGUGUGCUGUGAAUUCCUUGCUACAGAUUCCUGGUGUUUUGGGUUGUAGUUAUUACGAGGUUUGAGGGAAAAAUAUUGUGCAUCAUGUCUUUUUAUGUAUUAUCAUACCACCCCAAAAAAUCUUAUAUGUAUUAUCAUACCAACCCCAAAAAAUGGAGUGAACCGGAACAUGAUUGCGAUUUUGAGUUAUUUAAAGUGUUACUAUUAUAGCUUGGUAUAGUCAUCAUCGUUCCCUUCUCUUUUUGUUCAAGAGGAUUAAGGGUAAACUUUUAUUUCAUGUAUCCCUUCGUAGCUCAAUGAAGGGAGAUUGUUUAGCUUCGCUUGCCCCAUUGUUAUAUAUUUAUAUUUGCAAAGGUUCCUUUUUGUUUUGGUUUUCUGCAGUGAAAUACAGUAUUAUCUUAUGACCAAGUGAUGCCUAGUUUUAAUGACCCAAACAGCUGUGAUUGCGGUUUGUAAGAAACUUUUUCUUCAAUUCAAUGUACUUACCAAGUGGCAUAAGAUUUGAUAAUCAGCAGCAACAUUUCUGAUUAUUUAAUGGUUUGAAAAUUAAUGUCGGUUUUGUCUUUUUAUCAUGUUACAAAAAAUAUUGAAGUUCUAUGGCAUUGUAUGCAUGUACUUAAAAGGGAGUACAAGGGAAGUCCCAUUGCCCCUUUUUUUCACCUUAUCUAGUUUGUGUCAAGUUCUAUAGCAUUAUAUGCAUGUACUUAAAAGUGUCCUAACACCUUGACAAUUGAAGCCGU
rnacentral:lncRNA from 1 species